UCCUUGGUAGCUCAGACAGUAAAGCGUCUGCCUGCAAUGCAGGAGACCCAGGUUCGAUCCCUGGAUUGGGAA
rnacentral:tRNA from 1 species